rfam:Erythrobacter gangjinensis strain K7-2 contig1, whole genome shotgun sequence.
ACCGCGUACCGGGCCCCUCUGGCGUCUGCGGCCCUUGCUGCAACGUGAUGUCGGACGCAAAA